rnacentral:rRNA from 1 species
AUACGGAGGGUGCGAGCGUUAAUCGGAAUUACUGGGCGUAAAGCGCGCGUAGGCGGCUAAGUAAGUCGGAUGUGAAAGCCCUGUGCUCAAACUGGGAAUUGCAUUCGAUACUGCUUGGCUAGAGUAUGGUAGAGGGUAGUGGAAUUCCUGGUGUAGCGGUGAAAUGCGUAGAUAUCAGGAGGAACAUCAGUGGCGAAGGCGGCUACCUGGACCAAUACUGACGCUAAGGUGCGAAAGCGUGGGGAGCAAACAGGAUUAGAAACCCCAGUAGUCC